CUCUGUGUGUGUGCUAGUGGAGCAUUUCUGUAGCGGGUUCAUUGAUAUUUCAGGUUGUUGUAAGGAGCCUUCAUUGAUUUCAGAUCAUCCCGUCGGGCAGUUAGAGGUGCGGUGAUCAGCAGAGCGGGUGAUGACGGCUCUUUUCUUCGCGGUGUGAAGGACAAAGGAAGAGAGAGCAGCACAGUCACACGUCACUCGCUGCAUUUUAAUGGUUCUCAGCUUCUACUUUUCAACUGAGGCCAUCUACUACCAAAAGCCCCGUCGGAUGUUUCUGAGGCGGCUCUGACGGAGGAGGCCUUUUUUCCAGCUGAAGACCGGGUG
ensembl:lncRNA